rnacentral:misc_RNA from 1 species
AAGUUAUAACAAAAUUUCUGUAGGUGAACCUGCGGAAGGAUUAUUAGAUGAUAAAGGCUGUUCUUUAGGCAUUCGCCUGUCUGUUCUGCAUCUUGUCUUAUAUAGAUCAUUCUGUUCAGAAGAUGAUCUUGUAUAGAAAAAAGAAAAAGAAAAAGAGAGAAAUUAUUUGUGUACAUUUAUUGAAAUAUUGCUUUAGGAAAGUGAGUUUUCCAAGAAGCCCAUUUGAAACUCCUUUCUAGAGUUUUGUUCUCAUGUAUACUCUAACUUUUAGACUGAAAAAAAAUAUUAAUUCAAUACAACUUUCAACAAUAGAUUUCUUGGCUCUCA